UUUAUUUGGGUGAGAGCAUGCGCAUGCGCACGCAUGAGAUGGGGUUAGAGGGAGAGGGAGCAGACUCCCUGCUGAGCAGGGAGCCUAAUGUGGGGCUCAAUCCCAGGACUCAGAGAUCAUGACCUGAGCCUAAGACAGCCACUUAACCGACUGAGCCACCCAGGUACCCCCAUGAUCGGCAUUUUGGAAGACAGAGUGAUCUAUGUCUGGGAGAACCCAAAUUAAGACACUCAGUGAUAUAAGAAGUCCUAAGAAGCAGAUCAUUAGUUGGGGCUUUAGAGUUGAAUGAGACCAGCUAAGACACCAAAGUCUCCAUUCCUGGUGAGAGCCAGACUGGUCAGAGAUAUUAAAAUGACCCUCAGUUGGAUUUUGCAGCUGACUGAUCUAGAGGCACAAUACAGGGUCAUGCUAAUGACCUCUACACUUCCACCAUUCACGAGGUCCCCAAUGAGAUCCUACUCCUUAACAACAGAUGAACCCACCUACUUCUCCAAGAAAAUAAAGACCAUCCUUUCUCUUCUCCUGCACAGCCAUGCAGCUAACAUGUCUUGAGCAUCUGCUAUCUGCCAGGCAGUAUGCUAGAAAGAAUAUGCCUGAGAGAAAAAUAAGAUGUAGUCCCUGCCUUCUAGAAAUGCAUCGUCUAGUAAAGAGGAGGAUGUGGGAAAAAAUAACUAAAAAUAUAGCAAGUGUAGCUGAAUAAGAUGGGACCAUCAUUCACAACAAGCAGAGCUUUUAUAAAAGCAAGUGGAAAUAAAAGAUAUAGUUAUCUAGGAUUUUUCCCUGAAUUCAUUCUACUUCUUAUAUUCUAAUUUAUUAUUAUUUCCCUGUCCAUUGUCUAUGACUUCUCCCUGAUUCAGUAUAGGGAAAUGUAGAUGCAAGAUACAUUCUAAACCAUCUUAAAAAUUCAAGUUAAUCUAAUAAGUUAUCAUGGUGCUUAAGACCUUAGUUCUGGGGAAGAUGGUUCACUGCUGAGUUAUUUACAGUACAGUGUGAGUUAGCACAAAAUAAAUAGAGCCUUUUCAAAACGAGAGAAUCACAAUGGCCUCAGUUCAGCAAUGACCAUUUUUAGUGACAGGAAUAUAUAUGUCAACAGAAAGAUGGUCACAAAUUGAUGACCUUAACCUUGAACCAGAGUUUUAAAAAAACUCAAAAAUUGUAUUCUGUCUUUGUUAAUGACACAGAUCAUAACUUUCAGCAAUAAAACUUCAUUUAUCAGCCUUUCCUUUCUAGUCCACUGGAAGUCCCACCUCUACUGAGUACUCCGUGACACCAAGCAAGUCUCUUGAAUACUAAAAGGAUCAUAAGAACCUGGCUAACUCAUGGAAAUAUUAUGGGAAUCAAAUCACAUAGUAGAUCUAAAAUGUUUUAAAAGUUUUAAAAGUACUAUAAAUAGGCAAUGUAUGAUAUUAUUAUUAAUAUAAUAGUCAUACAUAUGAGAGCCUGAAAUAGCAUGAUCAAGGGAGUUGAUUUUGAAACCAGUUGAAAGUAAAAGUCACAGAAAACCAAAAAGUCUAAGAGAAAGAAAAUGGACAUUGAAAACUGAUCAGAUUCUUAGAAAGGAAGAGAUUUGCUCCCAUUUUUAAUAUGAAGAACCAAGUGUUCUCUGUCAAUUGAGUUUCUGUCAGUCUUAAAUAUUUAAUUUAGUACAGCAAAGCCAAGUUCUAGGUUACUGAUCUCUUUUUGGACCAUUCCAGGAGUGUAGAGGCCUCCAUAUGAUCCCAGAAGCAUAUGGAGCAUCCUUCCAAGUGUUCUGGGCAUUUGCAUUUCAUCUCUCUCAAAAAUAAGUUGUAUCAAAUCUAAAACAUUGUAUUUUUUCAUCAAGUCCAAAAUAUUACUGAACAUAAGACACAUUAUUUUUUACAUACACACAUUAUUACAUAUACUAUAAAUAGGGAAAGCUCUAUGAAGUUAUGACAUGCCAUGACACGUCCCAAUUUCAGCGAUGUUAAAUUGCCAAAAAAAAUUUGUCUUAGCAUCAAUGAAUAUAGUAAUUGCUUUCUUAUUAUAAAAGUAAUCUAUAUUUGCUGAAAAGCUGGAAAAGACAAUAUAUUUGCAGAAACAUUGCUGUAGGUAACGGAAGAGCUAGAUGAAACAAGCAGAGCUCGUGUAACUGAAGGCCCAGAGGAAGGACACAAGGUAGAGUUGGUCUAAUUCAGGGACUGUACUAUCCCAAGAUGGUUUUUGCCCAUCUCUCUGUUCUGCCUUCCAGGGGGUCCAUCCUGCAGCUACCCAACUGUAUCCCCCACUCCACCCUGGAGAUAGGGCUGCUAUCCUAGCAAUCCGAGCAAAAAUUCCAAAAUUCGCUUGCACUGGUGUGGCACUGAGGUCACCUCAGCCCCCUGAACUGUGGUUGUUGGUAGAAAAGUGAAAAAGCUCAUGAAAAGCUCGUGGACUGCCUGGGGAAGAAAGCAACACCCAACCAGAAAAUCUGCCCAUUGCUGGGAAGAAAGAGGGAUGGGAAUUGCUUGAAAGCUGUGACAGUGAAUUUGAUGUGUCCUUUUGUCUGGGCUAUGAUGCUCAGUUCUUUGGCCAAAUACUAGUCUAGAUGUUGCUGUGAGAGUAUUUUUUAGGUGGGAUUAAGUGAAUCAGUCCCCAUUAUGUGGGUGGACCUCAUCCAAUGAGUUGAAAGCUUCAAGAGAAAUGCCUGAGGUUUCCCAGAGAAGAAGGAAUCCCCCUCAAGACUGCAACAUUGACUCUUACCUGAGUCUUCAGCCCUCUGGUUCACCCUGUAGAUUUUGGACUUGCAGCCUCCACAAUCAUCCUACAAUUGUGGAAGCCAAUUCCUUAAAAUCUCUCUAUCUCCUUCUCCAAAUAUUUUCUCCAAUUUUAUUUAUGUGUUUACUUUCCUACGCAUAGAAACAUAUGGCAACACUUUACUCAAAUGACAUCAUACUGGAUAUACAAGAUUCAAAACUUUUGAAUCUUGUUUUUGCCCCUAAUAUAUUAAGUAUCAUUUUUCCAUGCUCCUAAAUAUUUGAACAUUUUGUUAACAGCAAAUAAUCCAUCACAUAACUGAGCUAUAAUAUGUUAUAUGUUUACUAUUUGACUAUACCUAGGCUUUUUGAUGAUUUCACUGUAUUCUUUCAAGUACAUAGCACUUUGUCCUUGCAUGUAAAGCCAGCGAGGUGCUGCUUCUGGGAUCUGAGGUCUCUGGAAGUCAGGAUCAAAAGUGUUGCAUUUGGCAGAUGUAUACUUAUUUCCAAAUUCAUCAGGUUGUAUAUGUUACAAAUGUAUAGUUUUUUGUAUGUCCAAAAAAAAGUGUUAGACUUGGUUCUCCCUGGUACAGGCUGGAGUUCAGUUUUAUUUUUUUAUGAAUAAAGAGCUUGUUGCCAAUUCAGCCUUUGGCCAGAGUGAGUCUGACCUGGCAUCAAAAAAUACCAUGAU